GUCACUUUGCCGGAGUGGUUAACGGGAUCGCCUGCUAAUCUAAGUGAUUCUGAAGUUCAAAGCGGUUGGGCUUUGCCCGCGUGUGUUCGAAUCGCACAGGUGACG